rnacentral:rRNA from 1 species
GACGAACGCUGGCGGCGUGCUUAACACAUGCAAGUCGAACGGAAAGGCUCUGCUUUUGUGGGGUGCUCGAGUGGCGAACGGGUGAGUAACACGUGAGUAACCUGCCCUUGACUUUGGGAUAACUUCAGGAAACUGGGGCUAAUACCGGAUAGGAGCUCCUGCUGCAUGGUGGGGGUUGGAAAGUUUCGGCGGUUGGGGAUGAACUCGCGGCUUAUCAGCUUGUUGGUGGGGUAGUGGCUUACCAAGGCUUUGACGGGUAGCCGGCCUGAGAGGGUGACCGGCCACAUUGGGACUGAGAUACGGCCCAGACUCCUACGGGAGGCAGCAGUGGGGAAUAUUGCACAAUGGGCGGAAGCCUGAUGCAGCAACGCCGCGUGCGGGAUGACGGCCUUCGGGUUGUAAACCGCUUUCGCCUGUGACGAAGCGUGAGUGACGGUAAUGGGUAAAGAAGCACCGGCUAACUACGUG